UCCCCUCCUCCAGAUCCGCCCGCUGCUGACCAUGCUACUGCGAUGGCUGUCAUCGCCUCUGCUCGUCCGCGUGGACACCGUCCUCGAGUCGCCUCCGCAGCAUGCCCAUGAGGUUUUAAAUCGUCCGCCUCAUCGUCUUCACCAACUGGAUCCAGCAGGGAGCCACCACAACUUCGACAUCGACCUCGUCUUCAUCUUCGGCCACCAGAGCUCUGCCGCGUCAAUCCACUGCACUGCCUCUCCUAAGCUUUCGCCGGGCCGCCGUAUGCCUUCGCGGUGAGCUCAUCAUCCGAUUCCCCUCUUUCUUCCUUUGUUUUAGUCGUCGUAGCCCGUCGUUCCACCGCCAUGGCCGGAGCUCGCGAACGCCAUAUGCGCCCAGCCGCCGUUGGCUGCGCCCUAGGCCAUGCACGCACGCGCGCCCGUUCUCCACGCCCGCGCCCUCUGACUCCCGUCGCUCCUUUCCCUGCCAGCCCCGGCCGCGCUCCUUGCCCGUUGCUGCCAUUCCUCUGUUGUUCUCUCGCUGCUGCUCUUGCAUACUGCUGCUUCUCUGCCUACUGUGCUGCUGCGUGCUGCUCUAAGCUGCCACUGCUUCUGCAUGACGUGCUGCCGCUGCUACUAAUUACUACUGCCGCUGCCGUGCGCUGCUUGCUGCUGCUGGUGGCCAUGGCCAUGGCCAUGGCUAGCAUGUGUGUGCGCGUGCUGUGUGUGUUGAGUGCGUACGUGUUGUGUGUGCGUGCUCUGUGUGUGUGCAGCAUGUGUGUGCGCGUUGUGCAUGCGUGCAGUGUGUGCGUACAGUGCGUAUGUGCGCUGAGUGUGUGGCCGCGCCCACCACCGGCCUCGCCCGCCUUCGGCUGGCCUUGCCGUGCCGCUGCUGCCACUCCCUCUUGCUGCUCUUCCGGCUGCACUGGGCUGCUGCUCCGCUGCUACAGUAAUGUUCAGUUACUGUAGCAGUAGCCAGCUUUGCAACUUUAACACUAACGAGCCCUCUUGACAGCCCCUAAACAACAACUAAACAAAAGUUAAUAUGAGUAAAAUUCAUAUGGGCCUGUAGUACACUUGACAGGGUUCAAUACAAAAGUCACCUAGAUUAAUUCCUAUGAAAAUGACAAAAGUCUAUGUUCAGUUAACAGAAAAGGCUGAAAAUAGAGUUAUUGUGUUAGCUACUUUAGAGCAGAAAAUAAACAGGAUACAGGGUUCUAACAGAGAUGCAAUUGACACCAUCCUGUAGAUCACAGAAAAUUGGUCAAGAUUGGUAUUAGGUACCAAUUCAUAAGAUGGGCAGAACACUAGUUAUAGCCUCUGGAAAACAGCCAAGUGAGGUUUAAAGACUGAACUAUUCUCAGACUUAGCCAAUUUUCAGGAUUUCCAAAUAAUUAUUUAAAUCUUCGAAAAUUCAUAGAAAAUAAACUAUAGCUCGGAUCGAAAAACUUUCUACAUGAAAGUUGAUCAGAAAAACAAGACGAAUCUGACCGUGCCAUCUGUUUCCUUGUCAGGACCCUCUAUGGAGGCGAACCCGCAACUUUUUGCCCGUUUCCGGUAGAUGAAUAGUGCAUACGUUAGCAUAGCAUGCUUUGUGUUGCAUAUAUUAGCUGUGUAUUUAUUUGUUUCCUUCCCAUCUUCUCUCUCGGUAGAUCUCGGUAGUGACACAGUCCCCGAGACCGACGCAGCUCCGGAGAUUGAUGACACCAUUGAUGACCCUGCCUUUGCCGCAGAGCAACCAGGCAAGCCCCCUCCCUUUGAUCAUCCCGAUAUCGUCGAUUCCAUUCUAUCAUGCUUGAAUUAGAUUUUGCUAUUGUUAUUGUUUGCUCCUAUUCUGAUGCAUAGCUUGCUUAUUGUUACCUUACCUACUUUCCUAAACUGCUUAGUACAGGUUGGUUAGUGAUCCAUCAGUGACCCCCCACCUUGUCCUUGUUCCCCUACUUCAUCAUUGAAGACCCGAUCAACGGGAUUGAAGACCAGGCCCCAACACCGCACAUCACUUUCCCCUUAGUUGCUCGACACUACUGGGUUACUAUCGAGUGCCGAGGGUGAGACUUCUACAGCACUUCUGAUGUUAACCCUGUAGUGUAGCUAUUCGGUCGUGGUCAUCGAGGGUGAUUUCCUAUUUAACCACUUCCGAAACGACUCUGUCAUGCAACCCCUCAAGUGUGGACCUCGAGGGUGGUCCCUCUUUCAUUCACCUUGAUGAUUACAUCGAGUGGAAUUCACCGGGGGUGAUUCCUCGGGUUUUCCCCUUGAUGUUUGGACACACGGAUACUUGGACUUUACAACUGUUACUUGAAAAGGCGGGUCGACCCUGAGGGGUACCCGCGAGUGAUGUGGAGACGAGUUGACCUGGAGUGUGCCCGAGAGUUGAAUACGAGGCAUGGCCGGGCAUUCUUACCCCCUGCCGCAAGUCCUCGAGACGGGGCGACGGGGUCACAUCUUUCGUGAGUCUCUGCUCGUGACCGCACUACCAACACACUAACGGUUUGGAUAUUUGAUCCAAGGGGCCUCUGGCCUGAUAGCACUAACCAUCAUGUGGGCAUAGUAUGGGCGUUCUGCGUCGUAUACAUCAGCCGAAGCUUAAUAGGAUUCAGCGACUGAGCGGCGCACGCCGGGUUGGACUGGUAAGCACCUGCCUUUUUUAAGGAGGUAGCUAGGUCUGCUCACCAGCCACCCACGCAACAUGCAGGAGUUCCCGGGGAGAUGGCCCAUGACCCCUGGGGCAUAGAUUUAGCCCGGCGUGCUGACCUCUCUGUUAAGUCUAGGUCGGGUUGCGGCAUAUUGUUUGGCCGAGGCCGGGCAUGACCCAGGAAAGUGUGUCCGGCCGGAGUUAAUCGAGCAUGGUGGGUAAGUUGGUGCUCCCCUGCAGGGAAGAAAACAUCUAUCGAUAGCCUGUCCUACGGUAACGGACACUUGGAGUUGUAUCCCGAUCGAUACAACUAGAACUGGAUACUUGAGAUGAGACUUGGAUAUGAGAUGAUAACUGGAUAGUAUGGCUCUGGGAUUGCUUUCUCGCAGGGAGUCGAGAAAGGAUCUCUAGCCGAGGUAGACAACACUACUACUACUUUACUUUAUGCUACUCUACUCCCUCCUAUUGCUGCAAGAUGGUGGUUUCCAUAAGAUGCUAGUCUUCGAUAGGACUAGGCCUUCUCUCUCUUCUAGCAUUUCUGCAGCCCAUUCCACAUAUACAACCUUCCUUUGAUAAUGUUGCAUAUGUAGUGUAGAUCCUUGCUUGCGAGUACUUUGGAUGAGUACUCACGGUUGCUUUGCUCCCCCUUUUCCCCCUUUCUUUUUCUUUCCGGUUGAUGCAACCAGAUGUCGGAGACCAGGAGCCAGAUGCCACUACCGAUGCCUACUACUACGUGGAGACCAUUGACGACCAGGAGUAGUUAGGAGGCUCCCAGGAAGUAGGCCUUGCCUUUUCGAUCGUAGAUGCUUUUGUGCUAGCCUUCUUAAGGCAAACUUGUCUAACUUAUGUCUGUACUCAGAUAUUGUUGCUUCUGCUGACUCGUUGUAUUCGAGCUUAUGUAUUCGAGUCCUCGAGGCCCCUGGCUUGUAAUAUAAAGCUUGUAUUAUUUGAAUUUGUGUCUAGAGUUGUGUUUUGAUAUCUUACAGUGAGUCCCUGAUCUUGAUCGUACACAUUUGCGUGUAUGAUUAGUGUACGAUUGAAUCAGGGGCGUCACAAGUUGGUAUCAGAGCCGACUGCUUGUAGGUAGCCCCCUUUCCAACUCCUUGGCCGAAGUUGAGUCUAGUCACUGAAAAACUUUUACUAACAUUGGUUGUGUGUCUUACGGGCCCACGUUGCCAUUGGGUGGUAUUAUGAUCUUUUACUCCUCGUCUAUACUCUGGGAUUCUGAUCUAUCUUCUAUUCGGGUUAAACAUUUUACUAACUCUGACAUUGGGUUAUCGUAACCACUUCCUCCCGGAGAGCCCCUACAUUACCGAUGAUCGCUUGCUUCACCAGAUGAUUCUGCGGAUACUCCUCGAUGUUUCCCGAGACCCUGUUCCCACUGCUUUGCAGUCCUAACCACCGAUAAGUCCCCAUGGAUACCAUCCUUGCCAUUUGUACCUUCAUCCCCAGUUGCUCUUGUUGUUACAAGUUACCCCUAACACUCUCCGUUGUUCCGAGAAUCCUUUGUGUCUUAUGCUUUGCAGCUUCUUUUCGCACUAUGGAUAACUCACUUACCCGGGGUCCGUUCCUCCCCAGUUGUUCACAUGCUUUCCAAAAUACUUUGAAAUGCUAUCUGAUCUCCCCAAAAUCCUCCGUGGCCUUUUACUUUUGAUUCCCCUCGCCUGCUUGUAUUAUGGUUAAUUCCAUAUGUCUAGCGAUAUUUAUUAAAAUCCUUUGUGAUUGUCACUCUGUUCCUACGGAUUCAACGUAUGUGCGACUACUCACAAUCAUCAAUUCAUCCAUAGGAAUUUACUUUCCGGCUCAGACAUCAUUCCGGAUAUGAGCUGGUUCUUGCCCAAUCAAGAUUCGAUUGGUGUGCCUCUAAGUCUGUUCAACCUAUCCAUCUUCGAUCGGAGCAUCUGAUCUGAUACACCGAUCUAGAAAUCCAAUUUCUUUGUAUUUAAGCAUCGAAUUAUUCAGAUGUUUCCAUAAACCAAUGCCCUUGCAUUUCUUCUUCUUCUGGUUGGAUGCUAAUACUCACAUCAACUCCGUCGUGAAUCGCCAGAUCCAUUGUUGGAUUGUAUCCGACAGUGUCCAUCGCAUUCAAAAACCUCGAGAGUUCUUCCCCUUAUACAUGAUGCCUUUGGCAAAUUGUAUCCUCUCCUUACAUUCGAGUUUGUGUUAUUUACUCCUAAACACUGCGGUGUAGGUUCCUAAGAUGUCCCAAUGGGUUGAACCUAUGCUUUUCCUAAUCCAUGUGAACUCGAAAGUUAUGCGAGUCAUACUCUUCUGGUGCUUCACCAGAUAAAUCUUUAACACUACAACUUCAUCAAAAGCAAGAAGUGAAUGAAAGGUUAUGCAUUGAAGAAGUGGGAGUCGACCUUGAACUUAGUGUUCAUGCCCAUGGACCCGAUGUGGAACUUAUCAUGGAAGCUUCUUAUGAUAAUAAUAAUCCCCUUGUUAUAAGUUCAUCUGGUAUCUAUGUUUGGUCCUUUGCAAUCGUGGUUCUGACCAUGAUUGUUCCCCUUUGAUUCCAUUUCUCGGACUAGUUAAAGUACUUGUCUUCUGCAGAUGACUACACAUGUCCAAACUCUAUUAUGCCCUAUCUUUGAGUAUUACCCUCUAGUAUCUCGAGGAUAUCAUGCAUUGCACUACAUCUAAUGAACUUUUGAUGAAGUACUACCUUACCCUGUCUUAGUCACUUCAUGGGUUCUGGGUUGUCUUCAACCGAGACCACCAAACAAUGAAUCUAUUCUGCUCAGUGAUUCAGCACUCCUAGUACUUUGUUGCUGGGGAGUUGGAUACUCCAUCACAUCAUUCCUAGCCUGAUCGGCUAUAUUUUUAUCGUGUCAACUUUUAACUAUGCUACCUGGUCCUUAUGCCCGGAGCAACUUUCGACGAUGAGCUAAGCUUACAUUGAUCUUUCUCGUCAUAUCAUUUCACCUUGAACAGAAAGUUUGAUUUCGACUUUGUGUCGUACUCAUGGUUCCAAUAGCCUUUCGCUUCGUCCUUCCUGUUACUUGAUGGCAUCUUCAUAGAGCCUCUCGACAAAGGCGUCUUGAUCAGCAUCAACAUUUUGACUUCUGUUGAAAUGGCAAUUGAAUUCAUGGUUAGAAAUACCAUCCUUGACCUUCAAUGAUUUGAGUUAUCAUUGACAACCCCCCUUGUCUUCUUUCCAACACAUGUUUGGUCAUGUAUUGGUUAUACCUUGGACUACUUGUUAUUCCUGCAAUUGUUCUUUGAGUAUUUCUUGUGAUCUUCAACUCCAAUCCCUACUUGGAACACCAUGUUAAUGCUACCUCUAAGCAUGGCUGUGGUAUUCCGAAUAUCAACAAGAACAUUGGAAGCACAUUGUCGAAUGUUUCUUGAUCUAUUAUCCAAACACCGUUGUAUGUGUAAUAUCAUGAUUCUUCCCUCACCCCCUUUAUCUAAAUGCUUUUGAACUUGCUGUCUUAUCAUGGAUAUCAUACUCUGCUUGUCCUUGGGAAGGAUAUAUUCCUGAUAAUAGUGUUUAAACACACUUUCCUUUCCAAUGUUCUGAUUAAUCUAAUGAUCACCUUUUCUUUCCAUUGUUUUGUUUAACCUUUCUUGUGGUUUGUGAGAUCUAAGCAGUAAUAGUUCCCUACUUAUGGAAACACCUCGGUGUACAACUCUGUCAGUAAGACCCUGCUACUAUUGUUGAUGAUGUUCCGAACCACCAACGGACGAGAACUUUGCCUAUUGGUCCACCUCGUCUUACGAGCAGGAAAAUAGUUCUCUUCGUCCCUCGCCCUUGGUACCAACGUUGUUGGCAACAUAACUGACAGUCUAUCAUCUGACAUGCCUUGCUAUGACCCCCCUUUCUACUUUUAACCCACAUGGUGGGCCCAUAACCCACAGGUCCUAGGAUCAGAACCUUACUCUCCUGUAUAUCUUUGAUUCCAAAAUAUUCUUGCAUUUGGAUUCGUAUCAUGUCACGAGCCACCUUUCGAGAGAUGGUCUAUUCCGAUGCUCUGAACCCCUUUGUCACACUUUGGUCAGGUAUCAAUCGUUUGCCCAUUUGUUUGAAACUUCCUAUUGUACCUUCAUACUUUGCUCUCGAUGUUUUAUUAAGUUUCAACUCGAGAGAUACUUCUGCCUCAUUUCCCGAAUUGUUCACCAGAUAAUUAACCCUAUAAGGUUCAGUUCUCCCGAAGUUACUCUUUACUUCCCCACUUAAAUCUCGGGACGAGAUUUCUUGUAGUGGAGGAGAUUUGUAACACCCCAGUGUCAUGUUACAGUAAUCCCCAGUUAAUGGUGCCAUGUCAUCAUGUUACUGUUGCUAAUCUUCAGUUGAUCCAAAUCAUGAUUCAAAUUCAAUUCCAAUCUAAAGUCAAAAAUUCAUAUUUGUCAGAUAUGAAAUCUAAAAUGUUCAUCUUGUGCCAAAUAAUCCCGUAACUAAUAUUGGUAGUGAAACAACAUUUUUACAAAGUGUUUGAGUGCAUUAAACUAGCUAAAAUAGUGCUUAAAACAUUUGUUUAAAUGCUUUUUAAAUAGUAAACAAAUAUAAACAUAUUUUAUUAAAGGGGCAAGUCAUUUGUGGUAGUUAAUUUAAUAAUACUAAUUUAGGGGCUAGUGUUGUAUUUUACAAAAAUAAUGAAAUAAAAAAAUAGGGAAAAUACAAACUUUAGAAAAAAGCCCACAACCACCUGCCCCUGGACGUAGGCCACCCAACCGAACCCCUCCCUUUGUCGUCUACCCCGCUACAGGAAGACGACCGAGACGACCCGAGCCGAGUCCUAGCCGGAUCGCCUCGCCGGCAAACUCCCCCCGGUGGAUAAGAUCGCCACGGCCCUCGCCUCCUCGAUCCCCUCUCCCACUCGGCCCCCACUCAUUUGCUCUCUCUCCCCUCAUCUAACCACCGCUCCCCUCCUCCAGAUCCGCCCGCUGCUGACCAUGCUACUGCGAUGGCCGUCAUCACCUCUGCUCGUGCGCGUGGACACCGUCCUUGAGUCGCCUCCGCAGCGUGUCCAGGAGGUUUUCCAUCGUCUGCCUCAUCGUCUUCACCAACUGGAUCCAGCAGGGAGCCACCACAACAUCGACAUCGACCUCGUCUUCAUCUUCGGCCACCGGAGCUCCGCCGCGUCAAUCCACUGCACUGCCGCUCCUAAGCUAUCGCCGGGCCGCCGUGUGCCUUCGCGGUGAG
rnacentral:lncRNA from 1 species